AAAUGAAUAGACGGGGGCCCGCACAAGCAGUGGAGUAUGUGGUUUAAUUCGAAGCAACGCGAAGAACCUUACCAGGGCUUGACAUAUAGAUGAAAUACAUGGAAACUUGUAUGUCCUUCGGGACAUCUAUACAGGUGGUGCAUGGUUGUCGUCAGCUCGUGUCGUGAGAUGUUGGGUUAAGUCCCGCAACGAGCGCAACCCCUAUUGUUAGUUGCCAGUAUUAAGUUAGGCACUCUAGCAAGACUGCCGGUGAUAAAUCGGAGGAAGGUGGGGACGACGUCAAAUCAUCAUGCCCUUUAUGUCCUGGGCUACACACGUACUACAAUGGAUGUAACAAAGAGAAGCAAAGCAGUGAUGUGGAGCAAAACUCAAAAAGCAUCCUCAGUUCGGAUUGAAGGCUGAAAUUCGCCUUCAUGAAGUCGGAAUUGCUAGUAAUGGCAGGUCAGCAUACUGCCGUGAAUACGUUCCCGGGCCUUGUACACACCGCCCGU
rnacentral:rRNA from 1 species